UACGUAGGGUGCAAGCGUUGUUCGGAAUCAUUGGGCGUAAAGCGCGUGUAGGUGGUUAGGGUAAGUCGGAUGUGAAAUCCCUGGGCUCCAACCCGAGGAAGUGCAUUCGAAACUACCCUAGCUAGAGGACGGGUAGAGGAAGGUGGAAUUCCUAGUGUAGAGGUGAAAUUCGUAGAUAUUAGGAGGAAUACCGGUGGCGAAGGCGGCCUUCUGGGCCGUUCCUGACCACUGAGACGCGAAAGCGUGGGUAGCAAACAGG
rnacentral:rRNA from 1 species